rnacentral:miRNA from 1 species
GACCUGGGUGGAGGGCUAGGUGCCCCCAGCAGGAGUGAGAGCUCCUCUGUGCCCACACAG